CGACGGCUGGCGGACGAUGACGCGUCGGUCCGGCUGCGGGCCGCGCUGGCGGCCGGUUCGGCACCGGACCGGCGG
rnacentral:tRNA from 3 species